rnacentral:rRNA from 1 species
AUGGCUCAGGAUGAACGCUGGCGGCGUGCCUAACACAUGCAAGUCGAGCGAGAAACUCAUGAUCGAUACUUCGGUUGAUUGAUUGAGCGGAAAGCGGCGGACGGGUGAGUAACGCGUAGGCAACCUGCCCUUGCAGAGGGAUAGCCUCGGGAAACCGGGAUUAAAACCUCAUAACGCAUGACUGAGACAUCUCAGAGAUGCCAAAGAUUUAUCGGCAAGGGAUGGGCCUGCGUCUGAUUAGUUAGUUGGUGGGGUAACGGCCUACCAAGGCGACGAUCAGUAGCCGACCUGAGAGGGUGAUCGGCCACAUUGGAACUGAGACACGGUCCAAACUCCUACGGGAGGCAGCAGUGGGGAAUAUUGCACAAUGGGCGAAAAAGCCUGAUGCAGCAACGCCGCGUGAAGGAUGAAGGCCCUUGGGUCGUAAACUUCUGUUCUAAGGGAAGAUAAUGACGGUACCUUAGGAGCAAGUCCCGGCUAACUACGUGCCAGCCGCGGC